UAGUGGCGAACGGGUGAGUAACACGUGGGCAAUCUGCCCUGCACUCUGGGACAAGCCCUGGAAACGGGGUCUAAUACCGGAUAACACUGCGGAUCGCAUGGUCUGUGGUUAAAAGCUCCGGCGGUGCAGGAUGAGCCCGCGGCCUAUCAGCUUGUUGGUGAGGUAGUGGCUCACCAAGGCGACGACGGGUAGCCGGCCUGAGAGGGCGACCGGCCACACUGGGACUGAGACACGGCCCAGACUCCUACGGGAGGCAGCAGUGGGGAAUAUUGCACAAUGGGCGAAAGCCUGAUGCAGCGACGCCGCGUGAGGGAUGACGGCCUUCGGGUUGUAAACCUCUUUCAGCAGGGAAGAAGCGAAAGUGACGGUACCUGCAGAAGAAGCGCCGGCUAACUACGUGCCAGCAGCCCGCGGUAAUACGUAGGGCGCAAGCGUUGUCCGGAAUUAUUGGGCGUAAAGAGCUCGUAGGCGGCUUGUCACGUCGAUUGUGAAAGCCCGGGGCUUAACUCCGGGUCUGCAGUCGAUACGGGCUAGCUAGAGUGUGGUAGGGGAGAUCGGAAUUCCU
rnacentral:rRNA from 1 species